AAAAGAAAGAAAAAAAGAAUAUAAGGAGGCGAGACCAAGUUGGACAUUUUUGGUUCAAAUGAAAUGAUGUUGUCUGAUGGGCGCGUGGGGUGAGCAGUGCUAAUAUUUGUAUUGUGUCAAUGGAAGUGUCUAUAAAUUGUGUAAGUGUGCUUUGAGUUUGUAUGAGUAAACAUGAAAAAUAUUUGAGAUUUAAAGUGAGAGGAGGCCGAGAAUUCACAGAGAUGGACUUGGAGACUUCAUGUUCCAGUGAUUUAUUCUUUUACAGUUUUCAGGUACCAAGGAUGAACUUGGAUUGCUAGUUGCGAAUUUAGGUGAAAGAGUUGGCGUUGAGGAAUUAAUUUAUUUAUUUAGAGAUUUUUUUUUUUUUUGUAUUUUAUUUAAGGAAUUGAUGUUGUAUCAAUAAAAUGAUUUUUCGUUUGA